rnacentral:misc_RNA from 1 species
UGCACGUUGGUAAACAGUCCCU